UACGUAGGGUGCGAGCGUUACUCGGAAUUACUGGGCGUAAAGUGUGCGCAGGCCGCCGAGCAAGUCGAGUGUGAAAGCCCCGAGCUUAACUUGGGAACUGCGCUCGAAACUACUUGGCUAGAGUGUGGCAGAGGGAGGUGGAAUUCCACGUGUAGCGGUGAAAUGCGUAGAGAUGUGGAGGAACACCGAUGGCGAAGGCAGCCUCCUGGGCCAACACUGACGCUCAUGCACGAAAGCGUGGGGAGCAAACAGG
rnacentral:rRNA from 1 species